AACGCACAUUGCGCCCAUUGGUAUUCCGAUGGGCAUGCCUGUUCGAGCGUCAUUAUCCUCCCUCAAACCUCGUGUUUGGCGUUGGACCGUGUUGGUUGGACGACCAACUGGUCUCAAAGACAAUGACGGCGUCCGUGGGACCCUCGGUGCAACGAGCUUCUUAGGAGCACGCGUCGAGUUUCAAGGACCUUCCGGGCCGGUCUUGACCUAUAUCUUCUUAGGUUGACCUCGGAUCAGGUAGGAAUACCCGCUGAACUUAA
rnacentral:misc_RNA from 1 species